rnacentral:tRNA from 1 species
GGUAGUAUAGUUUAUUUAAAAUACAGAUUUUGUAAUUCUGAGAUAAUUGUAUUUACUCCCU